CGCGUAGGCGGACUAUUAAGUCAGGGGUGAAAUCCCGGGCUCAACCCCGGAACUGCCUUUGAUACUGGUAGUCUUGAGUUCGAGAGAGGUGAGUGGAAUUCCGAGUGUAGAGGUGAAAUUCGUAGAUAUUCGGAGGAACACCAGUGGCGAAGGCGGCUCACUGGCUCGAUACUGACGCUGAGGUGCGAAAGUGUGGGGAGCAAACA
rnacentral:rRNA from 1 species